UACGGGGGGGGCAAGCGUUGUUCGGAAUUACUGGGCGUAAAGCGCGCGUAGGCGGAUCUGCAAGUCGGGGGUGAAAUCCCGAGGCUCAACCUCGGAACUGCCUUCGAUACUGCGGGUCUCGAGUCCGGGAGAGGUGAGUGGAAUUCCUAGUGUAGAGGUGAAAUUCGUAGAUAUUAGGAAGAACACCAGUGGCGAAAGCGGCUCUCUGGGACGGUACUGACGCUGAGACGCGAAAGCGUGGGGAGCGAACAGG
rnacentral:rRNA from 1 species